rnacentral:rRNA from 1 species
GACGAACGCUGGCGGCGUGCUUAACACAUGCAAGUCGAACGGAAAGGCCCUGCUUUUGUGGGGUGCUCGAGUGGCGAACGGGUGAGUAACACGUGAGUAACCUGCCCUUGACUUUGGGAUAACUUCAGGAAACUGGGGCUAAUACCGGAUAGGAGCUCCUGCUGCAUGGUGGGGGUUGGAAAGUUUCGGCGGUUGGGGAUGGACUCGCGGCUUAUCAGCUUGUUGGUGGGGUAGUGGCUUACCAAGGCUUUGACGGGUAGCCGGCCUGAGAGGGUGACCGGCCACAUUGGGACUAAGAUACGGCGCAGACUCCUACGGGAGGCAGCAGGGGGGAAUAUUGCACAAUGGGCGGAAGCCUGAUGCAGCAACGCCGCGUGCGGGAUGACGGCCUUCGGGUUGUAAACCGCUUUCGCCUGUGACGAAGCGUGAGUGACGGUAAUGGGUAAAGAAGCACCGGCUAACUACGUG